GAGUGAUCGAAAGAUGAAAAGCACCUUGAAAAGAGGGUUAAAUAGUACGUGAAAUUGUUGAAAGGGAAGCGCUUGUGACCAGACUUGGGCGCGGCGGAUCAUCCGGGGUUCUCCCCGGUGCACUUCGCCGUGUCCAGGCCAGCAUCAGUUCGUCGCGGGGGAAAAAGGCUUCGGGAACGUGGCUCCCCUGGGAGUGUUAUAGCCCGUUGCAUAAUACCCUGCGGUGGACUGAGGACCGCGCAUCUGCAAGGAUGCUGGCGUAAUGGUCACCAGCGACCC
rnacentral:rRNA from 1 species